AGCACCUCAAGUGGUCAGGAUGAUUAUUGGGCCUAAAGCAUCCGUAGCUCGUUUUGUAAGUUUUGGUUAAAUCCAUGCGCUUAACGUAUGGGCUGCCGGGAAUACUGCAUAACUAGGAAGUGGGAGAGGUAGACGGUACUCGGUAGGAAGGGGUAAAAUCCUUUGAUCUAUUGAUGACCACCUGUGGCGAAGGCGGUCUACCAGAACACGUUCGACGGUGAGGGAUGAAAGCUGGGGGAGCAAACC
rnacentral:rRNA from 1 species